ensembl:antisense A830036E02Rik RIKEN cDNA A830036E02 gene
GCUAUUGUUGAUGACGGGUUUGCUACCGUGGGGCUGGGUGAUCCGGAUGCUGCUAUCGAUGUGUUAUCCCUAGCAUCAAGAGAUGGUUCUUCUAGAACAUCAGCCGGCGGUAGGUCUCAAUCUCCAUCUCCAGGCGAGCCUUGACGCCCAGCAGCCGCUGGUGGUCCGCAUUCUGGCGCUCCGCGUCAGCCCGCACCUGUUGGAGUUGCUCCUCCAGGCUGCCGAUCAGCUGCUGCACCUGAGACAGUUGGCAGCAGUACCCACCCUCGGUUUCAGCCAGCGAGCCUUCCAGGGACGACUUCUGCAAAUGGGAGAUAGACAGAAUUGUCUGGGGAUCAGAGAACAAGAUGGGCAGCCCAUGGUCCAGCAUACGGUGGGUGCAACAUCUUUUUUUUGGAAGUUAAAGGAUGCAUCAUCUCUCUCUGCAUGUCACGCUACCAUGGCGAGCUGGGACUGGAGUUCAAUCUCCAGGUUCUGCACCAUGCGCUUCAGGUCGGUGACCUCGCUCUUGCUGGACUGAAGCUGCUCCGUGUUGCUGCUGAUCUCUUUUCGGAGCUCUCCGCUCUGCAACAGCAAACCAUGGCUUCAUACUGGGCUCUCAUUUCAUUGAGGACCUUGGUGAGAUCCACUCCAGGGGCCGCGUCCAUUUCUACAUUGACCUCACCUGGACCACCUGCCUGGAAACUUUGGAGUUCCUAGAGACAGCAAUGGAGAGAGAAAGACACAGGAGUACGUGUGGCUAGUGAGUCCCCCAGGUACUUUUGCCUUCUUGGGUCUCUUCAUGCAUGAUAAUAAUAAAAACUAUAUUUUUGAGUGAGUUGGUAUAAAGGCAAAAUAUUAGCGCAAGGCAUCCACACAUUUUUCUUUAAGCUUGAAAACCUGUUUCUCUCAUAAUUAAGAAAAACUAAAACCAAAAACCAAGAUAUUUUCUCAGGUUUCUUGAGUGAUCAGGGGCUCCACGUUCUGUGCCUGUGGUUGCUGGCUCUGCUUCUAGAACAUCCACUUCCUAUAGUUUACAGAAAGGAAAGAGACCUGGUGUGCAGAUUGCUCCAGCAACUGCUACAGAGCUAGUGCCACAAGUGGCACCUGGGGUCAUACACUAUUUCACACCACAGUCAUUGAGAACCCAGCAGAAAGUUCCUUAGAAGCCCAUUGCCAGUGGUCAUUCUUCCUGUCCAUGCCCCGGCCUCUGAUACACACAUCAGAUCUCCAUAUGUCUUAUAUUGGUUACACUUCUCUAACAUAUGUGGCUGAUAUAUGUGUCAGCUGUAGACUUUUGUUUUCAUUUUUGAAACACUCCGUAUUUAAAGAAAACAUUUGACGAAGGUAAUUAAAAUUCCUGCCAUUACUUAAUGAUGGAAAUAAUAAAACCAGAAUAUUCCCCGCUAUCCCAAGUCUAAUACUCGAAUCCAUUUAGCCUUAAUAAAAAAUACCAUGACACAUGCACAAGAGGGUGAGGUGGGGUGGGGGUGGGGGGCACACAUAGAGGAACACCAAAAUGAAUAGUCACUGUAACACAGAGAUAAUAUAUUCUCUAGCUUUGUUAAUUCAAAGUUUCAAUUUUUGGGUCUGGGAGGAAAAAAAAUAAAGCUAUUUCUGACCUCUUCGUGGUUCUUCUUCAUGUAAGCCAGCUCCUCAGUGAGGGUCUCAAGCUGGGCUUCCAGGUCGGCUCUAGUCAGGGUCAGCUCGUCCAGCACCCUGCGCAGCCCGUUGAUGUCGGCCUCCACGGUCUGGCGCAGGGCCAGCUCAUUCUCAUACCUGGAACCCAAGUGCCCACAGUUUAGGAAGUCAACAUUAACACAACCAUUGCGAUGGAUCCUGGACAUCUUCUGGGCUAUGUGGCCCAUGUCUGUAAUCCUAGUACUUGAGAAGUAGAGCCAUGAGUUCAAGGUCAUCCUCCACUACAUAGUGAGUUCAAGGCAGCCCAAGGGAAGAGGAGGAGGAAGGGGAGGAAGAAGGAGGAGAAGGAGGAAGAAGAGAAGGAAGAAGAGGAGGAAGAGGGGAAGGAGAGAAGAAAACACUGUGCUAACAGUAUAUUAUGCUGUUUUUGAUUUUGUGACUUUUCCUCUGUGUGUGAGUAUGAUUGCUUACUCCUCAUUUGGAGACAAGAGAAGAAAGAUGAAGAAAUGAUGAAACCGAGAACUUCCUACCAGCAGUGAUCCUUGCAUCCCAGGGAGAAGGCUCCCUAACCAGAAAGAAGACCUCCAUCAUUGCCAGAAAAGAUACACAGAGAGCCACCGCCCGAGCUUCCAGCUAUCCCCAUCCCUAUCCCCAUUCCUCCCGCGCCACCUCUCAGAGGUCCCCCAUAGGCAGAGCCAAGCCCCGGCAAGCAACCUGCAGAGCCACCGCUAAAGCCAGAACUAGAACCGAACAUGGAAGUAGCAGAAAAGAGGCCUCCACAGCCAACUCCAAAGCCAGAGGCCGAUCCCCCAUAGCCGCCGGCAACACUAGAAGCAGAUGCACCCCAAGGUCUGCCUGCCGCCCCAUUCUGUGAGGAAGACCUCCUGGACAGCGCAGAGGUGCAGACUGAAAGCGACAUGCUGUUGCUGGAGAGGUGGUGAACCAAGAGAGACCGCAGUGCUGGUAUGCCGGAAGGGGUCCUGCCUUUAUAGGCUGGGAGGUGGGUGUUGCGGUUAAAGAGUUCACUCUCUGCAUUCCAACUCUCGCAUGCCCACCCCCACCCAGUUGGCCAGCUCAGCAGGUAUGUGAUUUAUGCAUCGUGAAAAUUCACUGAUAUAGCUAUAAUCGAAUAACCAUUACCACUAGAUAUCUGACACACAAGAAAGAAGGCUGGGUGGAGCAGAUAGGCUGUCGUAAGGAAUCUGUCACCUUCAGUUGUCCUCGGCACUGCCUGUAUCUUCCAGACACCAGAAGAGUGACGACUGGAGCAUUAAGGAAUCCUUCCGAAGCCCCAUGCUUCCUGAAGCUCUGUCCUCCCCUCCCCUGUCUAUUUCUUUCGAUUCAAUAUAAGCCAACCAACCAUGCUGUGGUUCUCUCUGUAGGGACAGUUUCAGAGGCAGAUGAAGAGCGCAUUCCUGGAAGGUGAGAAACAGAGGUGUUUUCCAAGCGGACAUUAGAAUCUGAGCUUGCAAGGUUCUGAAAGCAUCUGCUAUAAGGAGUUGUAUGGUUCUUGCUUUUCUGAAAAUGGAACACUUAAACAUGGGAGCCAGCUGUUUGGAAGUCGAACAUUUAUAGUUAACAAAAGAUUGGCAUUCUCAGUGAACCAUGACGCUGGGCUCUGGGCUGAAUGCUUAUUGCUAUUUCUUCAAUGGCAUUACCUGUGAGAAUUUUGUAGUAAAUCUGUUGGCUGAAUGGAUAGUAUAUCACCUACAGUGUUCCACCAUUAACAUACAUACACACACACAUACACACAAACAUGCAAACACUGUCCAAAAUAAGAAAUGAUUAAAACUCCAUGCUUC